AAGUUUAUUGAAUUGAAACAUCGAAGACAUAAGAAAGAUUACACCUAAAAUGCCAAAGAAGUCCACUUUGAAAUCUGCACAGAAAGCUCCUCUUUCUUCUUCUCCUUGCUGCGGCAGAGAUGGUUUUGGGGGUUUUUGGAUGUGAUUUUUGAUGUAGGAAGGGAAUUAGGAUGGUAUGGGGGUGCGGCAAGGUGUGUGGGUGGUGUAUGGAGGUGUAGGAUGGUGUAUAGAGGUGGAGAAUGGUGGCUGGAAUGGAUGAAGGCUGCGGCAAAGUGGGGAAUAGGGUUUUGACGAAUUUCUGAAUAUGGAGAGGGAGAGAGUGUGCGGCUAGGGUGUAAGGGUGGUAUAAUAGGCACUUAGAAACCCUAAUGAAAUCAGAUUUUUAAUAAUGGGCUAGGGUUAGGUGCGGCACUUAAGUGGACUAGGGUUUAGGGUUUGUAAAAUAGGGCUUCUAGGUGGAAAGGUGCGGCUUGGGUUUAGGAGGAAUGGACUAGGGUUUAACAUGGCAUAUUUUAGAUGAUUAGGCCCUAGGGUUCGGCAUGGGUUGAAGGUCCACAAGGAAAUUUGGGUUUAGGUCAUCUAA
rnacentral:lncRNA from 1 species